AGAGUUUGAUCCUGGCUCAGAUUGAACGCUGGCGGCAUGCCUUACACAUGCAAGUCGAACGGUAACGCGGGGGCAACCCUGGCGACGAGUGGCGAACGGGUGAGUAAUACAUCGGAACAUAUCCAGUAGCGGGGGAUAACCUAUCGAAAGAUGGACUAAUACCGCAUACGAUCUACGGAUGAAAGCAGGGGACCGCAAGGCCUUGCACUAUUGGAGUGGCCGAUGUCGGAUUAGCUAGUUGGUGGGGUAAAAGCUUACCAAGGCGACGAUCCGUAGCUGGUCUGAGAGGACGAUCAGCCACACUGGAACUGAGACACGGUCCAGACUCCUACGGGAGGCAGCAGUGGGGAAUUUUGGACAAUGGGCGCAAGCCUGAUCCAGCCAUGCCGCGUGAGUGAAGAAGGCCUUCGGGUUGUAAAGCUCUUUCGGUGAAGACGAAACGGUUAGUGUUAAUAACACUGACUAAUGACGGUACUCACAGAAGAAGCACCGGCUAACUACGUGCCAGCAGCCGCGGUAAUACGUAGGGUGCAGGCGUUAAUCGGAAUUACUGGGCGUAAAGCGUGCGCAGGCGGUUUGUUAAGACAGGUGUGAAAUCCCCGGGCUUAACCUGGGAAUUGCGCUUGUAACUGGCAAGCUAGAGUGUGGCAGAGGGGGGUGGAAUUCCACGUGUAGCAGUGAAAUGCGUAGAUAUGUGGAGGAACACCGAUGGCGAAGGCAGCCCCCUGGGUUAACACUGACGCUCAUGCACGAAAGCGUGGGGAGCAAACAGGAUUAGAUACCCUGGGUAGUCCACGCCC
rnacentral:rRNA from 1 species